UAAAAAAUGCCGACUGAUCAACAGUGUAACGUUAGUUAAACUUUACUUUAAACGAAUUAAAUUGAAUGUCACUUUGAGUGUGUAUCGAAAAAGUCACAUCUACUGAAUCAACGACAUGUGAACCUCUACUUGUAGGGGAAUAAAAGAUGGACUACCCUGAGGCAUAGACCACUGGACACUAAGAGUCGGCGACCGCAAGUUUCCCACUGUCCGCUAGACCCGUCUGUUCCAUUAUGCACGUAUAAAAGAGAAAGGUAAAUUAUGCCGGGGGGGCCGGCAUUACGCAAAAAAAAAAAAAAAAAAAAAUUGAUGUCGCCGCAGUUUCACAAACGACAUUUCUAAACCUCUGUUUUGUCGUUACCCUGAAGAGGUAAGAAUUUGUAUUAUGUGUGACCCCGGCCCUUCCCUCCUGUGUGUACAUAACUCGUCCCCGUGUGUGUUUGACAUCAUAACGGUUUCUUUUUGCCCAGUUCUGAACUAUUUUUUCCCAGUGCAUUUGGAUUUGAAUAAGAAGAAGACCUGCAUCAUUUAGCCGACCUUAAUUUCGGUUUGUUUGAUUUGUUUUUUGUUUUUUUUUGGUUUUGUAAAUUUGACCUUAAUUGAAGGAAGAAAAGCCAGCUUUCAUGUAGGGGGAUGGAAGUAAUGAAUGUUGUAGUACCUCUGAUAAGUUUGGAUGGCGUCGUUGGCCACCAAGAAGUCUGGAUUGCUUCGUUCGCCGCCGCUGCGAUCGGAGAGUUCGCGGGACGAGAUCUGGUGGUGCCGGUGGAGAUGCGGCUGAUGGAUGAAAGACUCCUCGUCGGUGCUGGAGAAUCCCGGAUUGGUCUGCGCUAUCAUCAUGCGAGUCGUCCCGUCGAAUCCGAGAUGACUUUCAGCGCUGCUGUCGCUUGUGGUGGCCGUGUCUUUGACACCGGGCCGGACAACCCUUCCGGCUCGACCGCUCUUGCUCCGCUCCGGCCUCUGGGGAUAGAGGGUCGACUCGUCCGCCGAACCUCCUCCUCCGCCAGAGCCUCGCUGAAUGGUGUAAUCUCGAUACGCUGACUCGUAACGGUUCAUUUCUUAAUCUUUUGCUGUCUGCCCUGUAGCGAAACAAAUUCUAAUGAAUAGCUG